rnacentral:tRNA from 1 species
ACCGAAAUAGCUCAGCUGGGAGAGCGUUAGACUAUAGAUCGAAAAGUCCCUGGUUCGAUCCCGGGUUUCGGCA